rnacentral:rRNA from 1 species
AGAGUUUGAUCCUGGCUCAGGAUGAACGCUGGCGGCGUGCCUAAUACAUGCAAGUCGAACGAGGAGCCUCACAUCUUCGGAUGAGGGGAUUUCCUAGUGGCGGACGGGUGCGUAACACGUGGGUGACCUGCCCCGAAGUGGGGAAUAACUCCGCGAAAGCGGAGCUAAUACCGCAUAACGUCGCGCGAGUUAGAGGUCGCGCGUCUAAAGAUUUCGGUCGCUUCGGGAGGGGCCCGCGGCCCAUCAGCUAGUUGGUGGGGUAAUGGCUCACCAAGGCUAUGACGGGUAGGGGACCUGAGAGGGUGAUCCCCCACACUGGAACUGAGACACGGUCCAGACACCUACGGGUGGCAGCAGUAGGGAAUAUUGCACAAUGGGCGAAAGCCUGAUGCAGCAACGCCGCGUGCGCGAUGAAGGCCUUCGGGUCGUAAAGCGCUUUUCGGAGGGAUGAAACCAGACAGUACCUCCAGAACAAGGAUCGGCUAACUACGUGCCAGCAGCCGCGGUAAAACGUAGGAGCCAAGCGUUAUCCGGAAUUACUGGGCGUAAAGGGCGUGUAGGCGGCUUGGCAAGUCGGUCAUGAAAGCUCCCGGCUCAACUGGGAGAGGUUGUCCGAUACUGCCAGGCUAGAGGGCAAGAGAGGGAGGUGGAAUUCCCGGUGUAGUGGUGAAAUGCGUAGAUAUCGGGAGGAACACCAGUGGCGAAGGCGGCCUCCUGGCUUGCGCCUGACGCUGAGACGCGAAAGCGUGGGUAGCGAACGGGAUUAGAAACCCCGGUAGUCCACGCCGUAAACGAUGUCAACUAGGUGUCGGCGGUGUAGAAUCCGUCGGUAUCGAAGCUAACGCGUUAAGUUGACCGCCUGGGGACUACGAUCGCAAGAUUAAAACUCAAAGGAAUUGACGGGGACCCGCACAAGCAGCGGAGCGUGUGGUUUAAUUCGAGGCUACG